CAUUCUUUUAAACGGCUCCCCCACUUCCAAUCUUAGUUUCCGUCCCAAUUUGGGAAUUGUUCCUGCCUGGAGGUGAGGGAACCAUCAAUGGCCUUGUCUGAGAUGCACGCCUUGGUGCACAACAAACUCCUCUGCCAUCGCUUAGUCCUUCAAAGCUGACAGUGCUUUUAGAGUCAUGCAGACACCUGAUGGAAGAGUCUUCCAGGCAGAAGGAAGGACAAAUACCCUUGAUAUACAUGUACUUGGCCGGCAUGAGGAAGAGCAAUGUGGAAGGAUACAGAUAGUUGGGAACAUAUAGUGCCUGUGAAUGACCAGUAUGCUCACUCCAAUAACAUCAGGCAAGCAAUUCCACAUAAUACUGAAGAAGGCUGUUGAAGUGACUGAAUCUGGCCAAAUAUUCUGAGCGUUUCGGAGGGAUUUUUAACAUUCUAAAUGCUAUCUGGAACAUCGAUGCAGCAUGGGAAGAAGUCACACAGCCAUGCAUGAACAGCAUUUGGAAGAAAGUUUUGAAGACAUAUGUGAACACAUUCAAAAUGUUAACAGAGAUUCUGCCGUAUUCAUAAGCUUG
rnacentral:lncRNA from 1 species